rnacentral:sRNA from 10 species
GCCAGGCAUGGUGGUGCAUGCCUGUAAUCCCAGCUACUUGGGAGGCUGAGGCGGGAGAAUCACUUGGACCCAGGAGGCGAAGGCUGAAGCGAGUUAAGAUCAUGCCACUGCCCUCCAGCCUGGGUGACAGAGACUCCAUCUCAAAAAAAAGGUCAGGCGCAGGGGCUCAUGCCUGUAAUCGUAGCACUUUGGGAUGCUGAGGCGAGUGGAUUGCCUAAGCUCAGGAGUUCGAGACCAGCCUGGGUAACACGGUGAAACCCCGUUUCU